rnacentral:rRNA from 1 species
AUAGCGUAUAUUAAAGUUGUUGCAGUUAAAAAGCUCGUAGUUGAAUUUUGGACCUGGCUGGGUGGUCUUGCCGAAAGGUAAGCACUGCUCCGGUCGGGUCUUUCCUUCUGGAGAACCAGCGUGCUCUUAACUGGGUGCGCUGGGGAUCCAGGACUUUUACUUUGAAAAAAUUAGAGUGUUUAAAGCAGGCCUACGCUUGAAUACAUUAGCAUGGAAUAAUAGAAUAGGACUUUGGUUCUAUUUUGUUGGUUUCUAGGACCGAAGUAAUGAUUAAUAGGGAUAGUUGGGGGCAUUAGUAUUUAAUUGUCAGAGGUGAAAUUCUUAGAUUUAUGAAAGACUAACUUCUG